UAUAUUGAAUGGCAUCAUUCGAUAUUGAAAACUCCGGUGGAUAGAGAUGGGCACGCGCAAGAUUAGAUAGUUGGUGAGGUAACGGCUCACCAAGUCUGCGAUCUUUAGGGGGCCUGAGAGGGUGAUCCCCCACACUGGUACUGAGACACGGACCAGACUCCUACGGGAGGCAGCAGUGAGGAAUAUUGGACAAUGGGUGAGAGCCUGAUCCAGCCAUCCCGCGUGAAGGACGACGGCCCUAUGGGUUGUAAACUUCUUUUGUAUAGGGAUAAACCUAGAUACGUGUAUCUAGCUGAAGGUACUAUACGAAUAAGCACCGGCUAACUCCGUGCCAGCAGCCGCGGUAAUACGGAGGGUGCAAGCGUUAUCCGGAUUUAUUGGGUUUAAAGGGUCCGUAGGCGGAUCUGUAAGUCAGUGGUGAAAUCUCACAGCUUAACUGUGAAACUGCCAUUGAUACUGCAGGUCUUGAGUGUUGUUGAAGUAGCUGGAAUAAGUAGUGUAGCGGUGAAAUGCAUAGAUAUUACUUAGAACACCAAUUGCGAAGGCAGGUUACUAAGCAACAACUGACGCUGAUGGNACGAAAGCGUNGGGGAGCGAACARGGAUUAGAUACCCUKGGUAGUCCACGCNCGUAAACGAUGCUAACUCGUUUUUGGGAUUUAAGGGUUUCAGAGAGUAAGCGAAAGUGAUAAGUUAGCCACCUGGGGAGUACGUUUCGCAAGAAUGAAACUCAAANGGAAUUGACGGGGGCCCGCACAAGCGGUGGAUUAUGUGGUUUAAUUCGAUGAUACGCGAGGAACCUUACCAAGGCUUAAAUGGGAAAUGACAGGUUUAGAAAUAGACUUUUCUUCGGACAUUUUUCAAGGUGCUGCAUGGUUGUCGUCAGCUCGUGCCGUGAGGUGUUAGGUUAAGUCCUGCAACGAGCGCAACCCCUGUCACUAGUUGCCAUCAUUAAGUUGGGGACUCUAGUGAGACUGCCUACGCAAGUAGAGAGGAAGGUGGGGAUGACGUCAAAUCAUCACGGCCCUUACGCCUUGGGCCACACACGUAAUACAAUGGCCAGUACAGAGGGCAGCUACACAGCGAUGUGAUGCAAAUCUCGAAAGCUGGUCUCAGUUCGGAUUGGAGUCUGCAA
rnacentral:rRNA from 1 species